AUUGAACGCUGGCGGCAGGCUUAACACAUGCAAGUCGAGCGAGCGGCGGACGGGUGAGUAAUGUCUGGGAAACUGCCUGAUGGAGGGGGAUAACUACUGGAAACGGUAGCUAAUACCGCAUACCAUCAGAUGUGCCCAGAUGGGAUUAGCUAGUAGGGGGGGUAAUGGCUCACCUAGGCGACGAUCCCUAGCUGGUCUGAGCGGAUGACCGGCCACACUGGACCUGAGACAGGGUCCAGGCCUCUACGGGGGGCAGCAGGGGGGAAUAUUGCACAAUGGGCGCAAGCCUGAUGCAGCCAUGCCGGGUGUGGGAAGAAGGCCUUCGGGUUGUAAAGCACUUUCAGCGAGGAGGCGUUACUCGCAGAAGAAGCACCGGCUAACUCCGUGCCAGCAGCCGCGGUAUAC
rnacentral:rRNA from 1 species